CACAUGUAAAUAAAGACGUGUGGAAAAAAAAAAAAUCAAAGUUGAUCCUCCCUGAAGAAGUACAGUUCAUUGUGCUAAAACCCAUAAUCCUUUGGGUUAGAAACAGUUGUCUGCCAAUGCUUUUAAAGUGACCCACAUUUUCCUUGUUGUUGAAAUUUAGCAAACAGAAAAGUGCAACAAGAAACUUUGCUACGGAUUAACCAAUGUGCAUUGACCACACGUGGCAAUGUCCAGGAAUGACAGAACCAUCACCUCCCACCACAGCGUCCCCACGGUCCCUCGUCGGCAGGCAGGCGAGUGGUCAAGGAGCGUCCAUUCUGCGUGAGCUGAUGGAUGGGUCUCAGUGGAAGGAUGGUCCUUCCUUCAUGUCAUUCAUGAUCGCUUUGUGAAUUUCCGAUAUGGUAGCAGAGGGUCACAAAUGGGAUUAUCCGGGCGGUGCCUUUUCUGCUAACCGAACACCUUGAAAUGUGAAAGCAAAACUAAGGACCUAAGGGUAAAAGGAGGUUUUAAAGCCCAUUAUGCUCCUCUGAACUAAUCCUCCCUUGGGAAGAAAGUCCUGCUAAUUUCAGUGGAACCACUCUCACAAACCAAGGAUUAGCGUCACAGGAUCAGCCCUGCUGGGUGCUCAGGGAUGCUGAGUGAGGUGUCACAGCACGAGCACUGGGCUGGCAAUGCACAGAUCCCAGGUAAAGGGAAAACCCCACACCUGGGCCACACAGCGGCGUUACAGCAGGAAAGGAGAUAGGAAGGAAGGGUGGGGUGGGUGCUAAGCACAGACUACAGGUUUUGUAAGAGUGAGCUGGGGUGGUUGUAGGUUCAGCCUUUCGCCAUGCAGAUCAGUGGUAUAGCAGCUCCUGGCUCAGCUUAGAAUCAUUAAGAUUGGAAAAGACCAUAAGAUCAUCUCAUCCAAUGGUCAACCCAUUGUCAUCAUGCCCACUAAGCCAUGUCCGUGUUCUCAGUUGUCAUUCAGGGGGAGGAGGAAGCCUAGGAACAAAACCUAGAAAGUUCUGAUAGUAGUGAGGUGCUCUGUAAUGACAGUGGUUGGAAAGUCUCCACCUGCCACCAAUGGUGUGAAUAGCCUGAGCGUGCUGUGCAGGGAUGCCAUAACCAGGCACCCAUGGGGAGCUGGGACUGCACAGACAAAAGACCAUGCCCAACCCUCUUCCUCCUUUCCUCCCGGUCACAUUCCCCAGAUUUUUAUUCCUCUAAGAGCCCAGAAUGACUUAGUUGUCUAAAGGUGAGUAAUG
ensembl:lncRNA